rnacentral:rRNA from 1 species
GUGAGGAAUUUUGCGCAAUGGGCGAAAGCCUGACGCAGCAACGCCGCGUGGAUGAUGAAGGUCUUCGGGUCGUAAAAUCCUGUCAGGUGGGAAGAAAUCGGGGAGGCGAAUACCCUCCCUGUCUGACUGUACCACCAGAGGAAGCCCCGGCUAACUCCGUGCCAGCAGCCGCGGUAAUACGGAGGGGGCAAGCGUUGUUCGGAAUUACUGGGCGUAAAGGGCGCGUAGGCGGUUGGGCGUGUCUAACGUGAAAGCCCUUGGCUUAACCAAGGAAGUGCGUUUUAUACUGCCCGACUCGAGUCCGGGAGAGGAGAGUGGAAUUCCCAGUGUAGCGGUGAAAUGCGUAGAUACUGGGAGGAACACCGGUGGCGAAGGCGGCUCUCUGGACCGGUACUGACGCUGAGGCGCGAAAGCUAGGGGAGCAAACAGG